rfam:Ovis aries breed Texel chromosome 14, whole genome shotgun sequence.
UCACUAGUGGUCCAGUGGCUAAGACUCUGCACUUCCAAGGCGGAGGCCCAGGUUCCAUCCCUGGUCAGGGAA